rnacentral:rRNA from 1 species
UACGUAGGCAGCAAGCGUUGUUCGGAGUUACUGGGCGUAAAGGGUGCGUAGGCGGCCCUGUAAGUAUGGUGUGAAAUCUCCCGGCUUAACUGGGAGGGUGCGCUAUAGACUGCGGGGCUCGAGUGUGGGAGAGGAAAGUGGAAUUCCUGGUGUAGCGGUGAAAUGCGUAGAUAUCAGGAGGAACACCGGUGGCGAAGGCGGGGUCUCUGGGCCGAAAACUGACGCUGAGGAGCGAAAAGCGUGGGGGAGCGAAACAGG